rnacentral:rRNA from 1 species
AACGCUGGCGGCGUGCCUAACACAUGCAAGUCGUACGAGAAAUCCUGGGCAACUGGGAAAGUAAAGUGGCGCACGGGUGAGUAACGCGUGGGUAACCUACCCUUGGAUUUGGGAUAACUCCGCGAAAGCGGGGUUAAUACCGUAAUGAUAUUUCGAUCUCUAAGGGGAUCGGAAUCAAAGGUGGCCUCUGCAUGCAAGCUACUGUCUAAGGAUGGGCCCGCGUACCAUUAGCUCGUUGGUAGGGUAAUGGCCUACCAAGGCAACGAUGGUUAGCUGGUCUUAGAGGAUGGCCAGCCACACUGGAACUGAGACACGGUCCAGACUCCUACGGGAGGCAGCAGUGGGGAAUCUUGCGCAAUGGGGGAAACCUUGACGCAGCAACGCCGCGUGGGUGAUGAAGGCCUUCGGGUCGUAAAGCCCUGUCAGGUGGGAAGAAACAUAUCGGUGUUAAUAUCACCGAUGUUUGACGGUACCGCCGGAGGAAGCACCGGCUAACUCCGUGCCAGCAGCCGCGGUAAUACGGAGGGUGCAAGCGUUGUUCGGAAUUACUGGG